GACGAACGCUGGCGGCGUGCUUAACACAUGCAAGUCGAGCGGUAAGGCCCCUUCGGGGGUACACGAGCGGCGAACGGGUGAGUAACACGUGAGCAAUCUGCCCUUCACACGGGGAUAACCACCGGAAACGGUGGCUAAUACCCGAUACGACCACUUCAGGCAUCUGAUGGUGGUGGAAAGUUCCGGCGGUGGAGGAUGAGCUCGCGGCCUAUCAGCUUGUUGGUGGGGUAAUGGCCUACCAAGGCAACGACGGGUAGCCGGCCUGAGAGGGUGACCGGCCACACUGGGACUGAGACACGGCCCAGACUCCUACGGGAGGCAGCAGUGGGGAAUAUUGGACAAUGGGCGAAAGCCUGAUCCAGCAACGCCGCGUGAGGGAUGACGGCCUUCGGGUUGUAAACCUCUUUCAGCAGGGACGAAGCGCAAGUGACGGUACCUGCAGAAGAAGCACCGGCCAACUACGUGCCAGCAGCCGCAGUAAUAC
rnacentral:rRNA from 1 species